rnacentral:rRNA from 1 species
UACGGAGGGUCCGAGCGUUAAUCGGAAUUACUGGGCGUAAAGCGCGCGUAGGUGGUUCAGUCAGUCAGAUGUGAAAGCCCCGGGCUUAACCUGGGAAUUGCACCUGAAACUGCUGAGCUAGAGUACGGUAGAGGGCAGUGGAAUUUCCGGUGUAGCGGUGAAAUGCGUAGAGAUCGGAAGGAACACCAGUGGCGAAGGCGACUGCCUGGACCGAUACUGACACUGAGGUGCGAAAGCGUGGGUAGCAAACAGG